AUGAUUUGCAUUUAUUUCCAAACCCUGUCUCUGUCAAACUCCAUGUCCUACCCUCCAUAUGAAGUUCCUCAUGGACAGGGGCAGCUGAACACAGUGGCCAACCAUGAAAUGCUUCAGGUGGACCAGCUCCUCAGGAGCCAUGAGCUAUUGGAAGUUGUCCACAGUUUCGUACCAGUGUGCCAUUCUGGGAAGAACGUCUGCCAUGAUGUCAGAAGAACUUGCCUUCAGAUCUCAUGUCUUAUUGGGACAUUAGGUGAGUUACUUGACUUCUGAACCCAUUUCUAAUAUUCCCUCAAAGAACUAUCAUUCAGGUUAAUGAAAUAGUCAGUUGAAGGUGGUAGGCAAGUGGGAGUUACCAUACUUGGGGUUCCUAUUUAAUGGCAAAGCCAAGAUUAGAAUCCCUGUCAGCUCACUUGGAGACCAGUCCUUUGUCUUGUACCAUGUUUGUACUUAGUAAUGUCUGUUGACUUUACCCAUAUGACAAGACAGUAGAUAUAUUCAUCAUUUAUCAAGAAAACCCAAGUCCUAUGCUACGCUGCCUCAUGGGCUCCUCUGGGUCUCAGUUUCCUCUUAUGUAAGAUGAGGAGUUGGGCGGGAUGGUCUUUAGGGUCUCUCUCACCCAUGCAUGGUGAUGACUCCAGGUAGAGUGACCAACUGCUCUGGUCUGUCUGGGACCAAAGAGUCUCCCUGGACACCUGAUUUCCAGUGCCGAAACCAUCAGAGUUCACGCAAACUGGGUGAGUCCACCUCCAGUAACUCUAGGCUUCCUCCCUGCUUGGUAUCCACAAUCACCUUUCCUGAUAUACCACUUAAUACCCCAAACUGAACACACUCCUGCAGCAGAAUUCAAGCAUGAAGUUAGCAAACAAAAUGGCAGCCCUUGGGCCUUCACCUCUUCAUCCUUUCUUCAUGCUUAGAGUUUUCCUAUCUGAAAGCUGUUUUGCAAACCUGUUUCUAAACAGCCACUGCUAUGAUUUUAGCUUUUUAUAGGUAGCAACCUAUAAAAGCAGCUGACCGCCACCUCAGCAGACUGAGGAACAGUCACAGACUUCCUUUUCUGC
rnacentral:lncRNA from 12 species